rnacentral:rRNA from 1 species
UAACAAGGAUUCCCCUAGUAACUGCGAGUGAAGCGGGAAGAGCUCAAAUUUAAAAUCUGGCAGCUUCGCUGUCCGAGUUGUAAUCUGGAGAAGCAUUUUCCGCGUUGGACCGUGUACAAGUCUCUUGGAACAGAGCGUCAUAGAGGGUGAGAAUCCCGUCCAUGGCACGGACUACCAAUGCUUUGUGAUAUGCUCUCGAAGAGUCGAGUUGUUUGGGAAUGCAGCUCAAAAUGGGUGGUAAGUUCCAUCUAAAGCUAAAUAUUGGCGAGAGACCGAUAGCGAACAAGUACCGUGAGGGAAAGAUGAAAAGCACUUUGGAAAGAGAGUUAAACAGUACGUGAAAUUGUUGAAAGGGAAACGCUUGAAGUCAGUCGCGUUGUCUGAGACUCAGCCUUGCUUGCUUGGUGUACUUCUCAGUUAACGGGUCAACAUCAAUUUUGGUUGGUGGACAAAGGUUGAAGGAAUGUGGCAUCUUCGGAUGUGUUAUAGCCUUCUUCCGUAUACACUGGCUGGGAUUGAGGUCUGCAGCACGCCUUUUGGCCGGGGUUCGCCCACGUUACGUGCUUAGGAUGUUGGCAUAAUGGCUUUAAGCGACCCGUCUUGAAACACGGACCAAGGAGUCUAACAUGCUUGCGAGUAUUAGAGUGGAAAACUCUUAUGCGUAAUGAAAGUGAAAGUUGGGACUCUUCAUUGAGGCACCGACGCCCUGCCCUGAAGUCUUCUGACGGUGCAGCGGUAGAGCACGUAUGUUGGGACCCGAAAGAUGGUGAACUAUGCCUGAAUAGGGUGAAGCCAGGGGAAACUCUGGUGGAGGCUCGUAGCGAUUCUGACGUGCAAAUCGAUCGUCAAAUUUGGG